GGUGGGAAAUUUUAGUUACGUGACCAGCACUUCCCACGGAUUUUCGGCUGGUGACCAUUCCUACCAUGGGUGUUUCUGUGGAUUUUUAGAGGCUGGAUUUGUAAUUCCUUUGGAUUUUGGACCCAUGAUUUUUUUUCCAACCAUCUACUCAAGUGAUGAAUUCAAAAUGAGCCUAUCAAAGACAGCCCUAAAGAGGCAAAAUCCAAUUAAAGAAGCAGAAGAUUAUAUCCGGUUGGGAAUAGAUAAGGAAGUCCUUACAUGGAGGUUUAUUGAUCAUAUAAAAGGUCGAGGAGUGUUUGCAAAAGGCCCUAUUUUAAAAGGCACAAUCCUUCUAGAAUAAAGAGGGAAGCUUUUUAAAAGAGCAAUCUGUAGUAAAUUUGGAAUGACAAUAAAUGAAUACACUUAUUUAUUCACACACAAAGGAACAGACUUCUGGUUGGUGAUCAAAUUUAUAUUACAUAUUUAAAUAUUGUGGUAAAUUAAAAAAUAAUAACUUUUUUUCAGUUUAAAUUUAAUUCUAUUUUUGAAAAAUACAAUUUGUCACUCUUUUAGCAUUGAUGCUUCAAGUGAAGAUGGCUCACUUGGAAGACUGUUAUGUCAAUGAUGACAGGAAACCUAACGCAAAAGUGAAGAAGACUGAAGUGGAUUAUGUGCCCCAUCUCUGCUUGUUUUCCAUUACGUACAUAAACACGUGUGUGCUUGUGUGUUGGCCAUGUAGCCAGAGGCACUGUUCUUUCAUAAGUAUAUUAAAGUGUUUUUAAAAUAUAUAAUUUUGGUAAAAUGUCCAUGUUUCAUCCCCAUUUGCUUGUCUUACAGAUAAAUAUUGGCAAGUACACAAAUGAGUUCAUCUUCAAUCCUUAUUAAGACCAAAUUUUCUGGCUUUUAGCCUACAAGGUUGCGCCCUCUCCUGGCAUGUGAAGGUAGCAGAAAGAAGUAUGACAAUGAAGGGGCUGGAUCUUAAGCUUACAUCAUGGUUAUUGCAUUAUUAUUAUUACCAAACUGGAACACAUCUGGAAAGUUAUAUCAAGAAAAAAAAUUACUAGCCGAUUAUAAACGGCUAGAAGAGAAUGGCACUUUCCCGUUGUUCACCGGCAAUUAAAUUGUACAGCGGCAUAAGAAAAAACGGCAAGCUUAUGUCUGGACCAGAGUGCUGUAAUGAGAGUGGCGACACUCUUUGAAAUCGCCGACAGGAGGUCACGUGGUUCAUGGAGCUCUGAAUAGUUCAAUACAGCACAGCGUUCUUCGUUGGGUUCAGCGGAUUCUGGCGGGAGGCAACGCGGACAUUACAAUUUUAUUCGUCAUUUUCGCAUGGGGAUGCUAAAUCUCAUCCUCUUACACAGCGUGGAAGAGAUUACAUGUUCUGCUUCUUCUUACCUUCACAUCAACGUCCUUCAACAAAGCCUCAAUCAAAACUGUGGAAGAUCUCAUUCAGUUUGUUUUCUCUGCCUGGUAUCAGGUGGAAAAUGUACUCAUGGCAAUGUUAAAUGAAUAAUUUCAAGCAGGUUUGAAGGAUAAAAUGUAGCUGUAGAUGCUAACUGGUGUCUUUAGAUGAAUUAUUUCCUAUAACAAACAUUACUAUUCUAUUAUCAUAUCUGAUCAUAUUUUCCUGUCAUAUGAGCUUAAUACAUGCAUCUGUAUCCAUGUAUAUUGUAUUUCUAACCAGAAAACUACCGUAAAAUGGCACUGAUCUGACUCCACUAAAUGUUAAUUCACUGACCCUUUUAUAAUAUUAGCUAACAAGUAUCCAUGUUCAAAAACAGCUUUUUAACAAAAUAUUUUUAUUAAACAAUGUUAUUAUUGAAAGUGUAAUAAAUGCAGAAAUAAAGAAGUACUUUUACUAAUACUUGUAAUGUUUAAUAGUUGAAUCUGCAACAAUUAAUUGUUUAAAGGUUCAUUCAAUGAGGGUUCAUCCUUCUCAACUUGGCAGUUGCUUCAUUUGGUAGUGACCAUCUCUUCGAAACAUCAGUGGACUCUGGUAACAAAAAAUACAGAAAUAAUUCAUCAUCAAAAGCUCCAAAGUCAGACUGAAAAACUGGUGGUGUGUUCCUUUCAUUUCACUUUUCAUUUAUUCAUCCAUAUCAAUUUUCUGUACCAUACAGAAUUACAUAAAAAAUACAAUAAAGCCCUAACAUGGAUGAAAGGAGCAUGUAGAAGAUGUCAUAUAUUACAUGCCCUCUACAAAAAACAGCUUGAAUAGAUGACCAGUAGCAAUCUUUUCCACAGUCCAUGUCCAAAUUACAAACAUUGUUAAUUCUGAAAUAAAACUCUUAAAAAGG